GCGAGAUGGUGACCUGCAUCUCUUUGGACGGCCGCUUGUUCUCCUUGAAGAUGGCGAUGAGCGUGCGGCGCUGCAGGUUGGGGAGAGGACAUGGAACCUCUACAGAGUGUGGAAAGAAUUUAUGUUUGGCAACUGUUAACUCCUGGAAAAUCAAAGUUGUACAAGAAAGGAAAUGUAAUCCUAGUACUCUACAUGGCUCAGCUGCGGAUGCUCUUCACUGAAAAACCACAAUAAGAGUAAUUACUAAAUAUUGAUUUAGGCAAAAGACUAUAUUUGUAGCUGCACUGAGAAGCUGGCAGAAGGGGAGGGUGUGGGUACAGACGUAGAAAGGCGGCGAAGCAAAGCCCAGAAGACACUGUGCCAG